AGCAGCCGCGGUAAUUCCAGCUCCAAUAGCGUAUAUUAAAGUUGUUGCAGUUAAAAAGCUCGUAGUUGAAUUUCGGGGUUAGCAGGUCGGUCGUGCCAUCGGUAUGAACUGGUCUCGCUGAUCCCUCCCUCUUGACGAACUGUGAUGCCAUUAAUUUGGUGUCGCAGGGAAUCAGGACUGUUACUUUGAAAAAUUAGAGUGUUUAAAGCAGGCUCACGCUUGAAUACAUUAGCAUGGAAUAAUGAAAUAGGACGUUUGAUCCUAUUUUGUUGGUUUCUAGGAUUGACGUAAUGAUUAAUA
rnacentral:rRNA from 1 species